rnacentral:rRNA from 1 species
CUACGGGCGGCUGCAGUGGGGAAUAUUGGACAAUGGGGGAAACCCUGAUCCAGCAAUGCCGCGUGUGUGAAGAAGGCCUGCGGGUUGUAAAGCACUUUCGGUUGGGAGGACUGCUUCUAGCACUAAUAUUGUUGGAAGUUGACGUUACCUUCAGAAGAAGCACCGGCUAGCUCCGUGCCAGCAGCUGCGGUAAUACGGAGGGUGCAAGCGUUAAUCGGAAUUACUGGGCGUAAAGCACGCGUAGGCGGCUAGAUCAGUCGGGUGUGAAAGCCCCGGGCUUAACCUGGGAACUGCAUCCGAUACUGGCUAGCUUGAGUACAGGAGAGGAGAGUGGAAUUCCACAUGUAGCGGUGAAAUGCGUAGAUAUGUGGAGGAACACCAAUGGCGAAGGCAGCUCUCUGGCCUGAUACUGACGCUGAGGUGCGAAAGCGUGGGGAGCAAACAGGAUUAGAUACCCCCGUAGUC